rnacentral:rRNA from 1 species
UACGUAGGUGACAAGCGUUGUCCGGAUUUACUGGGCGUAAAGAGCGCGCAGGCGGUCGUUCAAGUCGAGUGUGAAAGCCCCCGGCUCAACUGGGGAGGGUCAUUCGAUACUGAUCGACUCGAAGGCAGGAGAGGGAAGUGGAAUUCCCGGUGUAGUGGUGAAAUGCGUAGAUAUCGGGAGGAACACCAGUGGCGAAGGCGACUUCCUGGCCUGUUCUUGACGCUGAGGCGCGAAAGCUAGGGGAGCAAAC